rnacentral:lncRNA from 1 species
AAAACCUCUUCUCUCUCCUUCUUGUGGAAAACCAGAAGAUCAUUGCAGCCAUCCAUGCUAAAAAUCUCAAUGGCAACAGGGCGAAGUUGAUAAUCACGCUUCAAAAUCUCAUGAACACUGUCAAGCUUCCACAUAUGCCAGAGAUGGGGCACAUUACCACUAGUGAAGACCUUUUCCUUUCCCCAUGCACCACGUCAAGCUUCCACAUAUGCCAAAGAUGGGGCACAUUACCACUAGUGAAGACCUUUUCCUUUCCCCACGCACCACCAUUAUAUGCCCACGCCCUACCCCCAACAUAGGCCUUUGUUGUUGCAGCCCAGGAGGAACUUGACUUU